rnacentral:rRNA from 1 species
UACGUAGGGGGCGAGCGUUGUCCGGAAUUAUUGGGCGUAAAGAGCGUGUAGGCUGUUCGGUAAGUCUGCCGUGAAAACCUGAGGCUCAACUUCGGGCGUGCGGUGGAUACUGCCGGGCUAGAGGACGGUAGAGGCGAGUGGAAUUCCCGGUGUAGCGGUGAAAUGCGCAGAUAUCGGGAGGAACACCAGUAGCGAAGGCGGCUCGCUGGGCCGUUUCUGACGCUGAGACGCGAAAGCUAGGGGAGCGAACAGGAUUAGAUACCCGUGUAGU